GCGCCAGUAGCUCAGGUGGAUAGAGCAGCGGCCUUCUAAGCCGACGGUCGGGGGUUCAAGUCCUCCCUGGCGCG
rnacentral:tRNA from 1 species